rnacentral:lncRNA from 1 species
GAGAUCGUGUCCUGCUGCCCGCAGGACGCAGGCCGGGCUUCCUCCGGCUCCUCGCUCCCGCUGCCGCCCACCUAGGCGGAAAGCGCUGCAGCCCUGGGCCGGGCUCCCUCGGUGUCGGUGGCAGCUCGGGACCCUGUGCCUGGCUGGAGGCUGCUCUCUCUCCGUCUGGCCCUGCUGUUCCUGGGUGCCCCAGAAAAAGACACGGGUUCCGGGCAGCUGCCGGAGCUUGUCUAGAAAUCCAACUUCCAACGCCGCGUCUGCAGCCUCCCCGCCGGGCACUGCUACUGCUCGGAGCAGCCAGGCCCUCCAGGCCACGUUCCUGGGCGCAAGGGAUGCCCAUUGCCUUCCCUCUUACUGCUUUUAAUGCUGUGGGAUCUUGGAUCAAAAGGGACCGGAGAGUAAAAUAAUCUCCAUGCGCCUCACAGAUCUCUAAGCGCCUUAGCGACCGUGUGUAUUAUAAAAAGAAAUUCUCAAAUUCAGAAUUAAAGAAUCAGUUGAUAUUGAAAUUCCCUAAGACUGCCAUCCAAUACGGUAGCCGCAUGUGGCUAAGUGAGGGUUGGAAAGGCAGCUUGCCACUCUGUGGAGUAAACAGUACACCAGAUGUGGAAGACCAUCUCGUUAGUAAAUUUUAUAUUGAUUGCAUGUUGAAAAGGUAAUAUUUUGGACAUACUACAUUAAAUUAGGUAAAUUAUUAAGUUAAUUUCUCUUUUUAAAUACUUUGGCUAGCUACUAGAAAAUUUUAAUUGUACGUGUGGACAGCACAGCUCUAAAAUGGGAAGAAAUGUCACUUUGGGUAGUAAGGUAACUAAGUAUUUGUCCUAAUUUUAAGUCAUCCCAAGAAGAUGCUAGUACUCAAUGUUUGUGUUUCUUCAAUCUAGAUGAGUUUAUACUAUUUCUGCAUUGUUUUAUGUUUAUUGUUGCAAGUGAUUUCCUUUUAAAUAAUCCAUGACCUCCCUUGAGAUAUUUCAGAAUUGAAUUCAAUUUUGAAAAGAAGUUGUGGCUGGGCGCGGUGGCUCACACCUGUAGUCCCAGCACUUUGGGAGGCGGAGGCAGGUGGAGCAUGAGGUCAGGAGUUCAAGACCGGCCUGGCCUAGAUGGUGAAACCCCGUCUCUACUAAAAAUA